rnacentral:tmRNA from 1 species
GGGGGUGAAAUUGGCUUCGACGGGAUUACUUGCUCUUUGAAUUGCGCACCGUGUUCUCCGUAGACACGAUAAACGACGGUAAAAAAAAUUAACUGGCGAAUAUAAUUACGCUUUAGCUGCUUAAUAAAAUUAAGCAGCCGUUCACUUCUUCUCCGCAUAUCGGGAACAGGAUGAACGCCGACUAGGUAUGAUAGCCGAAUUGAGUGUCUGAGUAAAAGAGGCGAAAAUUUAUCAGGCUGGUUAUUGCAAAUCAUGUUAGUUUGAGUUGCUUUAACAAGAUUAAAAAACUGACUAUGUGCGUAGAAGUUCUCUGAACGGUUUUUUCGGACGCGGGUUCAACUCCCGCCACCUCCACUU